CCUACGGGUGGCAGCAGUGAGGAAUAUUGGUCAAUGGGCGCGAGCCUGAACCAGCCAAGUCGCGUGAGGGAAGACGGUCCUAUGGAUUGUAAACCUCUUUUGUCGGGGAGUAAAAUACGCCACGCGUGGCGUUCCGUGAGUACCCGAAGAAAAAGCAUCGGCUAACUCCGUGCCAGCAGCCGCGGUAAUACGGAGGAUGCGAGCGUUAUCCGGAUUUAUGGGGUUUAAAGGGUGCGCAGGCGGAAGAUCAAGUCAGUGGUAAAAUUGAGAGGCUCAACCUCUUCGAGCCGUUGAAACUGGGUUUCUUGAGUGAGUGAGAGGUAUGCGGAAUGCGUGGUGUAGCGGUGAAAUGCAUAGAUAUCACGCAGAACUCCGAUUGCGAAGGCAGUACACUGGCGCUCAACUGACGCUCAUGCACGAAAGUGUGGGUAUCGAACAGGAUUAGAUACCCGAGUAGUC
rnacentral:rRNA from 1 species